UCCAUUCCAUGUGUUGUUCUUUUAUCAGUGUAUGUAGCAAUACCGCAUAUCCAUACAGCAAUAUCUAAGCUUGGGUAUACGAGGAAAGCCAACCCCUUGGGAAGAUGGGUUACAUGCUAAAAUUGAGCGGA
rnacentral:ribozyme from 1 species